rnacentral:rRNA from 1 species
AAUGAACGCUGGCGGCGUGCUUAACACAUGCAAGUCGAGCGAGGCCUGGGGGGCAACUCCCAGAGUCGAGCGGCGGACGGGUGAGUAACACGUGGGUAACCUGCCCGGAAGUGGGGAAUACCUCGGGGAAACUCGAGCUAAUACCGCAUGACAUCUUUGGGACGAAAGUCCUGACGAUCAAAGCGGGGUCGCAAGAUCUCGCGCUACCGGAUGGGCCCGCGCCCGAUUAGCUAGUGGUGAGGUAACGGCUCACCAAGGCUUCGAUCGGUAACCGGCCUGAGAGGGCGAUCGGUCACACCGGAACUGAGACACGGUCCGGACUCCUACGGGAGGCAGCAGUGGGGAAUCUUGCGCAAUGGGCGAAAGCCUGACGCAGCAACGCCGCGUGGAGGAUGGAAGGCCCUUGGGUUGUAAACUCCUGUCGGCUGGGAAGAAGUCGUGCGGUGCUCAUACCACCGUGCGUUGACUGUACC